GCUAUGGCUUUUUAGGCCACGAAUGUUUGGGGAAAUAACAUGUAUGUGAUGCCCUUAGAUGUUCGAGGCUACACGCGCGCUACAUUGAUGUAUUCAACGAUUCUAUAGCCUUGAGGCCCUUGAUCAACAUGUCCAGGUAAUUUUUGAAAUUUUAUUAUGAUAGGGAUAGAUCAUUGCAAUGGUUUGUCUUCAACGAGAAAUUCCUAGUAAGCGCGAGUCAUCAACUCUCUUUGAAUAUAUCCCUGCCUUAUGUACGCACCGCCCGUCGCUCCUACAGAUUGAAUGUUCUGGUAAAGUGUUCGGGUCACAGCGACGUGGGCGGUUCGCCGCAGGCGAGAUCGCGAGAGGUUCAUCGAACCUUAUCAUUUAGAGGAAGGAGGAUUUGUAACAAGGUUUUCGUAGGUGAACCUUCAGAAGGUGUUA
rnacentral:ncRNA from 1 species